UACAGAAUCUUCGAGCGUUACCCGGAUUUAUUGGGCGUAAAGGGUCCGUAGGUGGUAGAGUAAGUUGAAAGUUAAAGCUCAUCGGCUUAACCUUUGAGAUGCUUUCAAUACUGCUAUACUAGAGGGCGUUAGGGGUUAGCGGAACCGACGGAGUAGGGGUGAAAUCCGUUGAUAUCGUCGGGAACACCAAAAGCGAAGGCAGCUAACUGGGACGACCCUGACACUGAGGGACGAAAGCAUGGGGA
rnacentral:rRNA from 1 species